rnacentral:piRNA from 1 species
UGAUCUCAGUUCCUCUGUGAACUACGAUGC